rnacentral:rRNA from 1 species
GACGGAGGAUGCAAGUGUUAUCCGGAAUCACUGGGCGUAAAGCGUCUGUAGGUGGUUUAAUAAGUCAACUGUUAAAUCUUGAGGCUCAACUUCAAAAUCGCAGUCGAAACUAUUAGACUAGAGUAUAGUAGGGGUAAAGGGAAUUUCCAGUGGAGCGGUGAAAUGCGUAGAGAUUGGAAAGAACACCAACGGCGAAAGCACUCUGCUGGGCCGACACUGACACUGAGAGACGAAAGCUAGGGGAGCAAACAGG